rnacentral:pre_miRNA from 7 species
GACCGCCAGUGAAAAUCGAUUUUCACUGGCGGUCGGCGUAAUAAAACCGCCAGUGAAAAUCGAAACCGCCAGUGAAAAUCGAUUUUCACUGGCGGUC